rnacentral:rRNA from 1 species
UGAAGGUUGAGUAACAUCAACUGGAGGACCGAACCGACUAAUGUUGAAAAAUUAGCGGAUGACUUGUGGCUAGGGGUGAAAGGCCAAUCAAACUCGGAGAUAGCUGGUUCUCCCCGAAAGCUAUUUAGGUAGCGCCUCGGACGAAUACUACUGGGGGUAGAGCACUGUUAAGGCUAGGGGGUCAUCCCGACUUACCAACCCUUUGCAAACUCCGAAUACCAGUAAGUACUAUCCGGGAGACACACGGCGGGUGCUAACGUCCGUCGUGGAGAGGGAAACAACCCAGACCGCCAGCUAAGGUCCCAAAGUAUUGCUAAGUGGGAAACGAUGUGGGAAGGCUCAGACAGCUAGGAUGUUGGCUUAGAAGCAGCCAUCAUUUAAAGAAAGCGUAAUAGCUCACUAGUCGAGUCGGCCUGCGCGGAAGAUGUAACGGGGCUAAGCAAUACACCGAAGCUGCGGCAAUGUCUUUUAGACAUUGGGUAGGGGAGCGUUCUGUAAGCCGUUGAAGGUGAAUCGUAAGGUUUGCUGGAGGUAUCAGAAGUGCGAAUGCUGACAUGAGUAACGACAAAGGGGGUGAAAAACCUCCUCGCCGGAAGACCAAGGGUUCCUGUCCAACGUUAAUCGGGGCAGGGUGAGUCGACCCCUAAGGUGAGGCCGAAAGGCGUAAUCGAUGGGAAACGGGUUAAUAUUCCCGUACUUCUGACUAUUGCGAUGGGGGGACGGAGAAGGCUAGGUGGGCCAGGCGACGGUUGUCCUGGUUCAAGUGCGUAGGCUUGAGAGUUAGGUAAAUCCGGCUCUCUCUAAGGCUGAGACACGACGUCGAGCUACUACGGUAGUGAAGUCAUUGAUGCCAUGCUUCCAGGAAAAGCCUCUAAGCUUCAGAUAGUCAGGAAUCGUACCCCAAACCGACACAGGUGGUCGGGUAGAGAAUACCAAGGCGCUUGAGAGAACUCGGGUGAAGGAACUAGGCAAAAUGGUACCGUAACUUCGGGAGAAGGUACGCUCUUGAUGGUGAAGUCCCUCGCGGAUGGAGCUGACGAGAGUCGCAGAUACCAGGUGGCUGCAACUGUUUAUUAAAAACACAGCACUGUGCAAAAUCGCAAGAUGACGUAUACGGUGUGACGCCUGCCCGGUGCCGGAAGGUUAAUUGAUGGGGUUAGCGCAAGCGAAGCUCUUGAUCGAAGCCCCGGUAAACGGCGGCCGUAACUAUAACGGUCCUAAGGUAGCGAAAUUCCUUGUCGGGUAAGUUCCGACCUGCACGAAUGGCGUAAUGAUGGCCACGCUGUCUCCACCCGAGACUCAGUGAAAUUGAAAUCGCUGUGAAGAUGCAGUGUACCCGCGGCUAGACGGAAAGACCCCGUGAACCUUUACUACAGCUUGGCACUGAACAUUGAACCUACAUGUGUAGGAUAGGUGGGAGGCUAUGAAGACGUGACGCCAGUUGCGUUGGAGCCGUCCUUGAAAUACCACCCUUGUAUGU